rnacentral:rRNA from 1 species
AACGAACGCUGGCGGCAUGCCUAACACAUGCAAGUCGAACGAGACCUUCGGGUCUAGUGGCGCACGGGUGCGUAACGCGUGGGAACCUGCCCCUUGGUUCGGAAUAACAGUUAGAAAUGACUGCUAAUACCGGAUGAUGACUUCGGUCCAAAGAUUUAUCGCCGAGGGAUGGGCCCGCGUAGGAUUAGCUAGUUGGUGGGGUAAUGGCCUACCAAGGCGACGAUCCUUAGCUGGUCUGAGAGGAUGAUCAGCCACACUGGGACUGAGACACGGCCCAGACUCCUACGGGAGGCAGCAGUGGGGAAUAUUGGACAAUGGGCGAAAGCCUGAUCCAGCAAUGCCGCGUGAGUGAUG